GGGGUUGUGGCUCAGAGGUAGAGCGCUUGCCUAGCAAGUUGGAGGCCCUGGGUUCAAUCCUCAGCACCACA
rnacentral:tRNA from 1 species